GCUUUGGAGUUCUAUGCAUUUACUCUUGUUUUGUGACUUAUUAAAGAAAUUAGUCAUCAGGAUUUUCUCUGACUUUUGAUCAGCACCGAACUCUGUCCACAUACAGAUGAUGAGCUGAAUGGAGAGGUGACAGUUCUUGUCAUGAUAUGUUCUGUAUAGAUAUGUUCCUGAUUUUAUUUGAGUACAUUCUGUGUAUUUUCCCAAGUGUUUUCAGUGUUUCCUGUUUUAUUUUGUAGAUUUUGAUUCCUUGUGUUUCUAGUCUGGUUUUACCUCCUCAGUUUUCCCUCCUUCAUUAAUCACUAAUGAGUCUCACCUGUGUCUCGUCUGCCUAACCAGUUGCUCAUUUCCCAGUGUGUAUAUAGUCCCUUUCUUCCCCUCUGUCCUUGUUGGUUCAUUGUAUGUUUGUUGAUGCAUGUGUGUGCCUGUGUCCCCAGUUGCUUCCUGUAAUUUUGCCCCAGUGAUUUUUGUGGAUCUUGCCUCUUGGAUUUUUCUCCUUUUGUUGCUUUUUUUAUUUAGUUCUUUUAAUUCAAUUCUGUUUGUCUGCAUUUGGGUCCUUUUCUUUUUGUUUAACCCUGGUGUCAUGACAGUUCUCACCAACCCAGUUCAAGAAAGAGUACCUCAUUCAAAUUCAAAUAAAUGAAAACAUUCAUCACAUGCACCAACUUAACAUUUGCAAAUGUUCCAGAAAGACUUGGACUAAUUCACAAAGUGCAUGAAAAGGGUUAACUGCUCCACAAACUGCACCCCUGAGCAAAUAACAUCCGUGUGCGCGGUGAGGCUAUUUGCACACGUCAAGUGAGUCAUUAUGCAUUGCCUUACAGCAAUGCAAUAAAAACUUUCUCAUUGCAACCAACACUUCAUUGACAACCACUGGUGCAAACAGCCAUGCACAGUUUGGAUUAAGUAGCUGCUGAGACUGUGUGGGUGGGUUUGGGGUUGUUAUGGAUUAAUACCAUCACUCUCAAACUCUCUAGUGAUCAAGACAACAGUUCAAGCUCCAGAGGACAAGAAAAAAUAUACAUAUCAGUUUACACAUUUCUUAUUGAAUACCCCCUUGGGUAUAAAUAAAGUUCUUAACUUAUCUUAUCUCAAAGUCAAUCAACAUUAGUCUGGCAUCACUACUUUAAUGAUAAUCAAAGGUUAAAUCAGGGGCUAUAAGGAGCUUAACCCCAGGACAUACUGGCUUUGCCAAUAUGCACAUUGGAGGUUCUGAGUGACCUGCUUUUUUCUACCUUGCUCCAGGAUGUCAGCUUGUGUCUUUUCAUGCAGCCUAUCCUAUGUGGAUAGAAUACAGAUCUGUCAGGAGGAGCGCUCAUGGCACAGCUCUGCAGCAGAGCAUGGAGGAGCUUACCACCUAUCUUAGUCUCAAUUGAGCACAAAAGUGGAGUAAACUGUACAUAGAUUGUAAAUUUAGUGGGCUUUUUUAACAUUUGAAUAUUAUGCAGACUAUUUUCUAUGUUAAUUAGACCUUGAGAAAGAGAAGAUAGCAAGGGAAAAUCAUGCACCAUUCUUGGCACUAUUAGUGUUAGAUAUCCAUUCCUGGUGGAUCAUCCCUUCAAAGUUUUUUAUAGUUCAGUGCAUUUCGUUUUAAAGGCAACAUAACUAGGGUGCAUGGAGCUGCAAAGUCUUAGCUCUCUCAGUUUGACAAAGCUAAGAUAAUCACACAGAUAAUCAUCUAAAAGGUGGAGGGAUUACAGAGAAUUGUAAAAUCAUGAAAAAAUAACUCAAGUGUUAGACCGCAUAUUUAACUUACCUCUUCAUUUGCAAAGAGCAGCUUGUUCAAAAUUUAAAAAGAGAAAAAGAAAAUGUCUCUCACAUACAGUGGCUGAUAUAACCCCAGAUUAAAACAAGAAUAGUAAUGUGAAGGUAAAAUUAACAGACUAAAUGUACAGGUAUGUUAUUUUUAAGAUCCACCCAGUGGUGAAAAUGUUUAUAAAUUCUGCAGCCUAGUCAACACUAAUAAUCAGCACUCACAGUAGAAUUCACUCUAAUGCCCCAUUUUCCAACAGAGUGGGUCACAGUCAUAACAGCUGUUCCAACAGCUUUUGGUAAUGUAUGCAAACAACACCAGCAGGUUGUAAGUUUUGAGAAAUUUGGGAGGAGUUGCACAAAGAAAAAUAUUACCCGACUGUAGAAGAGCUGCAGUGAAAGAAAGAGUUGAUCAGAUAUAUGGUUUGACAAAACAUUGCAUUUCAAACAAACCCACAUUUUCCUUCAGGCUGUACCUUUUACCGUAAAGAUUAUUUCCAUGGCACUAUGUGGCUUUGAGGCUUCCAUUCAGCAAAGAGAGUUUGUCUGAGAUGUUUACAAAGCACGUUGUGGUCGACCUGUUUUUUGCAAUAUAAAGGGAAGGGUUUCUGAGAUGUUCUCAUGCUGAAAUGAAGAGAGGCCAAGAGAAAGUUUUUUUGUUUUUUUUUUUCUUGUGAAAUGUAAACCAUCCAAUCAUGUUAGAGGUUGGUAAGGAUAAUAAACCAAACAAAACUGAGAGAUGAGACCAGAUAAAGAGGAAGUGCUGACUCUUUUGAGUAAGGUGCCUCACUCAGAACUGCCAUUGAGAUGGCAGACAGCAUGAUGUCGCACUUUGUGAAUGUUUGCCUCCUCUGGACUUCGUGUGAGUAACAAAAAUCCACAUAUGGGAUUCCUUUUUCUAUCAGACACUUCAGUAAUAAUAUAUACUUUGUUUAUUUCAGAUGUGGCAAAGUUGUAUGACAUCCCUCAGCCAGUUUCCUUUAUAACAGUGAAGCUCGGAGACUUGGCGACUGUUGAAUGCCACAUAAAAUGUUCAGAGGAGUGUGGUACAAACUGACACCAGGAAGAAGACUACAGCUUGUAGCAACAUUCAAUACCUUACAUAAUAAAAGCCAGUUUGAAUGUUGGUCAACGUUAUUCACUUAACUUUGACCGAGUCAACAGUCAACUGCGCAUAUCGGCAACAACAUGGAGAGACACCGGGACAUACUUCUGUGGAGUAAUGUACUUAAGUGAAAUUCAGUUUGGAUCAGGAACCUUUUUGAUGCCCAAAGGUAUUUAUUUUAUACAUUUAAGCAUUUACAAUUUCUGACCUCCUCAGCUUUUGUCCUAAAUUUGAUUUAUGAGGCUCUGGGUAUCACUAGAAGCAGUUUUGCAUUUUCAAGGAGGUUUUAGCCUUCGCAGAAAGCAUUAACAAAGAACUGAUUCCCAGACGUGUUUUGAAAAUAAAUCUUGCACACAACAUUUGCAACUCCACAACUUAAAUCUGGACCAUAGUUACUUAAAUAAUAUAUUAUUUUAUAUUAUAUCACAGCAAUAUUAUAAUGUUACCAAUGCCAGAGGUAAGUCUGUACUUUUUUGACUGGGGUGGCUCGAAAGGGCUGCAAGAAGAAUUUCAUCUACUAAUUAACUACACACUAAUUUUAUCCAAUUUGACCACUGGGACUGUCAAACUAAAUGUGUUUUUAACUGGAAUUGCAAAUGAAUGUGCAUGUUAAAAAUCCAAUCUUAUGCAUGUAAGACCAGUUUUUAGGUCUAGACCAACACUGUAAAGUGAUUUUUUGUUGUGUCCACAUUUGGAAAUCAAAUGAAUGCUAUAAAAUGUAAUUUAUGAUCUGGACUUUUGAGAUGAAUCCUACACUGCGACACCAGAAACCUUGACUGAGAAGAAAGCUUCAAAGUGCUUAGAAUAUGCAAAAGAGAGUUUUAUUUCUAUUGAAGAAAAGCACUGUCACGUAUUAAGAACUAUACAGGAGUAUACAUGUACAAAAUGACCAGUGAGCAUCGAUUUGGUGUGCAGUUCUACAUAAUUUUGAUUGGUGAUCCCGUUAAUUCAACAGCAGGUGCACUUUGCAGGAGUUCUAGUUUUCUCUAGUGAUGAGAAGAACAGUUCUUUUGACUGUACUGAAUGUUUAGAAUCCGUUCAUAAAAAUGGUUUGUUCAAAAGAUUCGUUCACCGAAUCAGUCAGUGCAUUAGAGCCCCAUCCUGCCGGAUGCAGUACAUGAGUGAGUGACACAGCAACACUGAUCAGAAGUUCAUUCAUUGAACGAGCCCCUCCCCUCCCCUGCUGCUAGAGUCACAACGUCGUUCACUGGGUGACACAGGUCGUUCACCCGCCAAGUCAUGAAGAAAGAAUCACUCCCUUGCCCUGAAAAACUCACCUCUCUGUGUGCCACCGACGUUUGCAUCGCAACGCCCUAAACAGGUGCGAGUCGUUGUUCUUUUAUAUCACGGAAAAGUGGAGAGAUUAAAAAUAAAUAAACAUUGCAGCUGUAGCGGGGAUUCUGAUACUUUUAAAGAUAUCAUAUAGCAUAUUGCUUUAAAUUGGCUGAAAUAAAUCCUUUCCUGCAGGAGAGUUUUAUGUGUAUUAAUGUAAAGGCACUAUAAUGUACUGUUUUAUCUAAGCCUCAGUGAACUAACUGGUGCUCAGCAGUUCACGAACAACGCUACGCCCCUCCCUCCUCUGCCUGCCUCAAGUGGUUCGGAAGUCGUUCGUUUCAUUCACAGUCUGACUGAUACAUUUCGUUCACUGUGAGCAAAUCAUGAGACUUCACCUGCACUCUUGCUGGCUGGCUGGCUGUGUGUCAUUCACCAAAGAGUCAAAGGCGGUAGUUCCACUCCACACUCGCAGCUGAGUUCAACUAAACUAAGAAAGGAACAAAUCAUGUCUUGGAGUGAUUCCAUUCACGUCGAUCACUCAGCAGUUCCAUUCUUUUCCCUGGUCCCCAUUUGCCCUUUAUAUCUGAAAUCGUAGUUCCUUUUCCUGGCCACCGUAACU
rnacentral:lncRNA from 1 species